AUACCAUGCUGAAAGCACCCGUUCUCGUCCGAUCACCGAAGUUAAGCAUCUUUUGGUACGGUAAAUACUUGGAAAGGUGACCACCUGGGAGCACCAUGUGCCGUUG